AUGGGGGGAACCCUGAUCCAGCCAUGCCGCGUUGUGUGAAGAAGGCCUUUUGGUUGUAAAGCACUUUAAGCGAGGAGGAGGAGCUCUUGGUUAAUACCCAAGAUGCUUGGACGUUACUCGCAGAAUAAGCACCGGCUAACUCUGUGCCAGCAGCCGCGGUAAUACAGAGGGUGCAAGCGUUAAUCGGAUUUACUGGGCGUAAAGCGCGCGUAGGUGGCCAAUUAAGUCAAAUGUGAAAUCCCCGAGCUUAACUUGGGAAUUGCAUUCGAUACUGGUUGGCUAGAGUAUGGGAGAGGAUGGUAGAAUUCCAGGUGUAGCGGUGAAAUGCGUAGAGAUCUGGAGGAAUACCGAUGGCGAAGGCAGCCAUCUGGCCUAAUACUGACACUGAGGUGCGAAAGCAUGGGGAGCAAACAGGAUUAGAUACCCUGGUAGUCCAUGCCGUAAACGAUGUCUACUAGCCGUUGGGGCCUUUGAGGCUUUAGUGGCGCAGCUAACGCGAUAAGUAGACCGCCUGGGGAGUACGGUCGCAAGACUAGAACUCAAAUGAAUAGACNGGGGCCCGCACAAGCGGUGGAGCAUGUGG
rnacentral:rRNA from 1 species